UUCAAACAAAAUUCUUUUAUUGAAAGUGUAAUGGAAAUUUCUUCAUAUUGCUUUGAUGAAAUGAGAGACAGCAGCUGUAGACAAAUAUGCUUUUUUAUAAACAAAUGCAAAUGGAUAAGGUAAAAAUAAAGCUUUUUUUUUUUUAACUUGUACCUUUAAGCAACAUAAUCACAAUAUAUACACAAAGAAAGCUAAAAUAAAGCUAUGUUGAAACCAAAGCGUUUCAAUCAAUACAUUAGAUAAUUACAGAUUGUGUCAAUAAAUAGCCAGUUUUUAAACUGUUUAACAGGCAACUUUUUACACAGAUACCGAGAAGGAAAAAAAAAAAUAUAUUUACAAUUCAGUGCCCUGGGGAAAAAAAAAAGAUUAAAAAAAUCUUUUUUUUUUUUUUUUUUGGCACCAACACAAAUAAAAAGAAUAAAUUAUAGAAAAAAAGAAUCCACAAAGGCAGGAGUCUAUCCCGGUCAUUCAUUUAAAAAAAGUGUGUGUGUAUAUAUAUAUAAAAUAUAUGUAUAUUUUAUAUAUAUAAAUAUAUAUAUAUGCAGAGAAACCUAGGAAUGUUAUAAAAUAUAUUAGUGCCAAUAAAUACAGAACGGUACCAGACUUUCAACUGUCAGUAUUUUUGAUGCAGUCUGAAGGAUAGAAACUACCACCUAGGAGAUAACUGAAGGAGAUUUUUCAGUCUAAAGAAACGACAACAACAACAACAAAAAAUAAUAAUAACAAUAAUAGUAAUAACAAUAAUUAUAUAUAUAUAUCCAGGAAAUCCUCCAUCUGCCAGUAGUAUUCCUACAGUCGCCCUCCUGCCCGGCGGGGAGGUCUCCGGGGGUGAUGCUUUGCAGGAGGAUGAGGCAGCGAGCGCAGGGCAAGCACCCGCCCACGGCCAUGGCGGGUCAGCUCCGCUUCCAAGUUGACCGGCUCAAUACCAGAGAAGAUGUACAAUUAAAUAGUAAUAAUAAUGAUUAAAAACACCCAAGCAACCCAGCCUUCACCAUAUUCGUACGCCAGAAGUUCCCCAAAUUGCCGGCAGAAAUAGCAGGUAUACCCAAGAGCAUCACCAUCCCUGCUGUCGGGGAUAUAAACAGUUCAGCCAAUGGAAAAAUCCUCAAAUCCGUAUUUUGGGAGUCUCUGCAUCUCCAGGAGCUUCCAAAACCAGGACAUCCACCACCCCGCUCCCAUGGCAGCAGGGGUGGGAUGCGAAAGCUGGAACCUCCCUCAGUACCGGUAAUGCCAGGGAUCAUUCCCAUCACCAAAUCUUACAUUUUCCAAGGUGGAAUUUAAAGCCGGUAGGUUUCAAAGCUGUUGGUUUUUUUAACAUACCACUGGCGUAGGCACUUAGUGUCUCACUGACGUACAGAUUUUAUGUCCAGUUACAUCUCAUGGCCAAAUAGUGUCAUGUUCUCAGACUGAUUUAAAUAACAAAUGGCCAAGAGGGCCUCUAAUAUUAUUCUUAAACAUGGUAAUCUCUAGUCUUAAAAACCAAAAGCCUUCAAGCUUUUCAAACUUUCUUUUCAGGUGUUAUUCUUUCUUCCCUCUAAAACUGUACUCAACGGAUAAAUAACCCAAUAACCUUCAUAUCCACCUUUUUUUUUUUUUUUUCUAUUUACCUACAUAAAAAAGAUAUAAAUAGUGUGACCCACUAGAUUUUGGAGCUGUGAUAUCCUUGAUGUUGGGGAGCACUCGCUGAGGAGCACGAGCACAGUGUUGCUGUUGUUGGCUUUGCUCUCCCAAAGACCCCCUGGGGCUGCAAAGGUCCUUAUACUUACAUCCCCACCCUUGCUAACAGUUCCUCUGCAUAUUCAGGCACCAUAAUUGAUCGGGAAAGAUCUCAUGGCCAAAUCCUUAGGAGAUUAAAUAAAUUAUUAAAUAAUUUAUAAAAAGGGUUUGGGUUGGUUUUGUUUGUUUAGAGCUAGUUCAUGUUAUUUCUUGAAUAGUUGAAGGUUUUGCAUGUUGUGCUCUCCAUCGCAGUAUUAUGGAGAUCAGACACCAUCAUCAUGUCUACAGAUAGAAACCAAAGGACGCUGCACAAACGUUUGCCCCAUCCCUCCCAGACGCUUGCAUUCGGCUUUUUUGGAAAUGUGAAGACAAGACCAAAACAGCCACCAUCGUUCAGACUCAGAAAAACCAUGGUCAUCUACAGGAUGGGUGCUGCUGAAGAC
ensembl:lncRNA